UUCAACCUACGGGAGGCAGCAGUGGGGGAUAUUGCACAAUGGGGGGAACCCUGAUGCAGCGACGCCGCGUGGGUGAAGGAGCGUUUCGGCGCGUAAAGCCCUAUCGGCAGGGAAGAAGGAGGACGGUACCUGACUAAGAAGCCCCGGCUAACUACGUGCCAGCAGCCGCGGUAAUACGUAGGGGGCAAGCGUUAUCCGGAUUCACUGGGUGUAAAGGGAGCGUAGACGGCCAUGCAAGCCUGGAGUGAAAGCCCGGGGCCCAACCCCGGGCCUGCUCUGGGAACUGUGCGGCUGGAGUGCGGGAG
rnacentral:rRNA from 1 species